AGAAUGGGAUUGUGGCUGAACUAGAAGAGAAGGAAAAUCACCAAGAUAUGGAUACUGUGAUUGAUGGGGCUUUGACAUAAGUUCUUUUUGCAGGCUGAGUACAGAGCUCUUCCUUAAAGGAAAGGAGAUCAAGGAGGAAGGCAACCAAGACCAUGAGAUUCAGCUGUGACCAGGUAAAGUUGAUCUCCCAACUUUACUCAUACCACC